rnacentral:rRNA from 1 species
UAUUGGGGGGCAUCCCUUUAAUUUGAAAAUUCCGGUGGAAAAGAAAUGGCCCCGCGCAAGAUUNAAUAGUUGGUGAGGUAACGGCNCACCAAGUCUGGGAUCUUUAGGGGGCCUGAGAGGGUGAUCCCCCACACUGGUACUGAGACACGGACCAGACUCCUACGGGAGGCAGCAGUGAGGAAUAUUGGACAAUGGGUGCGAGCCUGAUCCAGCCAUCCCGCGUGAAGGACGACGGCCCUAUGGGUUGUAAACUUCUUUUGUAUAGGGAUAAACCUACUCUCGUGAGAGUAGCUGAAGGUACUAUACGAAUAAGCACCGGCUAACUCCGUGCCAGCAGCCGCGGUAAUACGGAGGGUGCAAGCGUUAUCCGGAUUUAUUGGGUUUAAAGGGUCCGUAGGCGGAUCUGUAAGUCAGUGGUGAAAUCUCACAGCUUAACUGUGAAACUGCCAUUGAUACUGCAGGUCUUGAGUGUUGUUGAAGUAGCUGGAAUAAGUAGUGUAGCGGUGAAAUGCAUAGAUAUUACUUAGAACACCAAUUGCGAAGGCAGGUUACUAAGCAACAACUGACGCUGAUGGACGAAAGCGUGGGGAGCGAACAGGAUUAGAUACCCUGGUAGUCCACGCCGUAAACGAUGCUAACUCGUUUUUGGAGCGCAAGCUUCAGAGACUAAGCGAAAGUGAUAAGUUAGCCACCUGGGGAGUACGAACGCAAGUUUGAAACUCAAAGGAAUUGACGGGGGCCCGCACAAGCGGUGGAUUAUGUGGUUUAAUUCGAUGAUACGCGAGGAACCUUACCAAGGCUUAAAUGGGAAAUGACAGGCUUAGAAAUAGGCUUUUCUUCGGACAUUUUUCAAGGUGCUGCAUGGUUGUCGUCAGCUCGUGCCGUGAGGUGUUAGGUUAAGUCCUGCAACGAGCGCAACCCCUGUCACUAGUUGCCAUCAUUAAGUUGGGGACUCUAGUGAGACUGCCUACGCAAGUAGAGAGGAAGGUGGGGAUGACGUCAAAUCAUCACGGCCCUUACGCCUUGGGCCACACACGUAAUACAAUGGCCGGUACAGAGGGCAGCUACACUGCGAAGUGAUGCAAAUCUCGAAAGCCGGUCUCAGUUCGGAUUGGAGCAACUCGACUCUAUGAAGCUGGAAUCGCUAGUAAUCGCGCAUCAGCCAUGGCGCGGUGAAUACGUUCCCGGGCCUU